rnacentral:lncRNA from 1 species
CUUAUUUUAUGCCUAAUUUUUAUCAACCUUUUUAGUGUCCACUUUUUUAAAUUAAAAAAAAUAACUAGCUAAUUAGCUAGAUAGCUAGCUAACUAGCCAAAUAGCUAACUUAAUAACUAGCAAAUUAAACAUAACCCUGUUUUCCCCAUUUUUCGUUUGUUCAUAUAUAUACAUAAGUAUUUGCGAGUUUUGUUUUCAGCUAUACAUACAUACAUACAUACAUACAACCAAAAUAUAUGUAUAUAUGUAUGUACAUGUUUAUAUAUGUGCGUACGCGUGUUUACGUAGAACAUAAGCAAGCACUUACAAAGGAAACGGUGAUGUCUUAAAUUAAAAGCUGUAUACAUCGAAAAUAGUAGCAACAAGUAGUAGUAUCUACAGUAGUAAUAAAUAGUAGUAGCAACAGAAUUACGGUACAAGAUGCUGAAACAUGGAAUAAAAGGAUUGUACUCUUUUAUAGAUGAUAUUCGUAACUGUAAAUGUAAAGAAGAGGAAGAAAAAAGAGUACUAGAAGAAAUAAUAAAAAUAAAAAAAAAAUUUAAUAAAAAAAAUAUUACAAAUAGUAAAAAAAAAGAAUAUAUAUGGAAGUUAAUAUAUUGUCAUAUAUUAGGAUAUGGCAUAUCAUUACCUUAUAUUGUUAUAAUUAAAUUAAUUAGUAGUAAUGUAUUUAGUGAUAAAUACUGUGGGUAUACAGCUUUAUCUCUGUUGCUUAAUGAACAAAAUGAAAUGUUAAACAUGAUGGUAAGUACAAUUAAAUCAGAUAUAAAAUGUAAUGAUGAAAAGGUAAAUUUUUUAGCUUUACAUUUUACUAGUAACAAAAUGAAUGAUAUGCUAGUCAAAAAUUUAUACGAUGAUAUAUUUCAUAUAGUAACGUCAAAUUAUAUAUAUAAACCGAAUAUUCGUAAAAAAGCUUUUCUAUGUUUAGCUAAUAUUUAUAAAAAAAGACAUGAUUUAUUACUUAAUAAUCGAACUGAUUAUGAAAUUUUUAAAUUUAUUGAUCAGAAUUUAAAUGAAAUAAAUAUGUUUAAUGUGUUUGCUUAUUUAAAUUUGAUUUAUAUUAUCAUAUUAGUAUAUGAAAAAUAUGAAUGUUUAUAUUAUUGGUGGAAAAAAAAAAAAAAAAAAAAAAAAAGAGCUAACAACUUUUGAGGAUAUGGGAUUUGAUGACUACGAAAAAGUUGGUACCAUAUCAAAUAAUCAAAUUAAGAAAGCAAUAACAAGAAAUGGUGAUAGUAGUAGUAGUAGAAGUAGUACUACUAGUAGUAGUAGUAGUAGUAGUACUAGUAGUAAAAAUAGCAACAUUAUUAACAUCAAUAAUAGUAAUAAUGUAUAUCUGAAAGAACAAAGUAUUUUAUAUAAUGAGCUAACAUAUAAAGAUUUGGAAAAAAAUGAUCGAUUUAUUGAAAUACAAACAGAUUGUAAUAUAAUGUUAGAUUUAGAUGAAAUUGAUUUUUAUCAAUUAAGAAAAUAUAUUAAUAAGUAUAUUUAUUAUAUAAUUAAUGUUCUGUAUUUAAUAUUAGAUGACAGUUUAAAUAUUGAUGAUGGAUUUUUUUAUAGCCAAUAUAGAUAUCCAUUUUUAUUAAUUAAAUGUUUACAAAUGGUUCAGCUAUUUAAUGUUAAUACAUUAUCAGAGAAAAUAAUUAACAAUAUAAACGACAUAUUAUAUAAAAUUGUAUAUACGUUAUAUCAAAAAAUAAAAAGUAAAUUGAAUUUUAAUGAAGGUGAAAAUAAUAAAAAUAAAAAAGUUAAAAUUAAAGACUCUGUAGAAAAUAUGAAAAAAGGAAUAGAUAAAAAAAAAAAAAAAAAAGAAAAAUACAAAAAACGAGAAACUAAUAGUGAUAGGAAUAGCAGUAGUAGCAAUAAAAGUGAUAAUGGCUUAAGUCGUGAAAAAAAUCGGAAACCAGGUGAAUAUAUAUCUAAAAAAACAUUUUUAAAUAAUAGUUUUGAAUUACUUAACAAUGAGAAAUAUGAUGUUGAAGAGAAGUACAGCGUCAGUGGUAAUAAUCAAAGCAUGAAAAAAAAAAAAAAAAAAAAAAAAANNNNNNNNNNNNNNNNNNNNNNNNNNNNNNNNNNNNNNNNNNNNNNNNNNNNNNNNNNNNNNNNNNNNNNNNNNNNNNNNNNNNNNNNNNNNNNNNNNNNAAAAAAAAAAAAAAAAAAAAAAAAAAAAAAAAGCCAAGAAGAAAUAAGAAUUCAAAAAAGCACUAUGUAUAUAGAGUAUAGUAUACUAUACGAAUGUUCUAAUGUAUAUAAUUUUUUAAAAGACAAAUUGAGUGACAAAAAUAAAGAUAUAUUAAUAUAUUUAAUUACCUCUUCAUUUAAUACGAAUAUAGCAAAUAUAAAUUAUACUGUAUUAAAUAUUUUGUCAAAGGUAAAAAUGAAUCCAAAAAUAUAUGAUAUGUUAGAGGCACAUAUGGUACAUUUAAUUAAUUUUUUAAAUAAUGAUGACAUAACAAUAAUAAUACAAACUUUUAAUAUAUUAUUUAAUAUCUGUAAUCAUAGUAAUUGGGAAUUGUUAAUAAAAGUUUUUUUACAUCAUUUACCACACAUUGAUCCUUAUAUACAAAACGAAAUAAUAAUAAAAAUAAUAAUUUUAGCUGAACAGUUUUGUACUAACUUAGCUACUUAUAUAGAUAUAAUAUUCGAGGCGAUUGAAAUAUCACACAAGUCUCUUUCGCAGGAGGUAUGGUUUCGUUUGGUGCAAAUGGUCACUGGGUUUGUUAGCGAAAAUCAAAACAAAAACAAGAACAAAAACAAGAACAAAAACAAAAAUCAAAACCAAAGUCAAAACCAAAACCAAAACCAAAACCAAAUCCAAGAACAUAGUAGAAACUCAUUAAAAAUGGGUAACACGCGAUGUACAAGUAAAUCUAGUAAAAGGAAAGGCGCUGAUAGUUACUAUAGUAGUACCAGUAGUAGUAGUAGUAGUAGUAAUAAUAAUAAUAAUAAUAAUAAUAAUAAUAAUAAUAAUAGUAGUAGAAACAGUAGCAGGGGCAGGGGCAGGGGCAGGGCCAAUAGGAAUCAUAAAUCCGUAAACAAAUCCAGUGUUAUGCUUAUACCUAAUGGAAAAAAAAAUAUUAAUAAAGGGAACCAUUUUGCAGAAUCAAAUAACAAAUAUAAAGAAAACCAUAAUGUACAAAUAUAUGCAGCUACAAAAUGUUAUAAAUAUUUAUUACAAAAUUUUACAAAAAUAGAAUUAUUAAUUAAUUUGUGCUGUUAUAUCAUUGGUACAUUUGGUUAUUUAAUUAAAAACAAAGUAACAAUGAAAGAACAACUAAAAGUUAUGGAAAAAUAUUUUUAUGUUGUAUCUACAAACACGAAAUAUGUCAUUUUAAUGGCGAUGGUAAAAAUGGUUUAUUAUGAUUAUAAAAUUAUAAAUAAUGUAAAAAAAAUACUUAACGAUUGUAUUAAUCAUUCAGAUUUGGAAUUACAAACAAGAGCAUGUGAAUUUAUUAAUCUAUUUAAUAUUAAC